rnacentral:tRNA from 1 species
GGAGAGGUGGCCGAGAGGUUUAAGGCGGCGGUUUGCUAAACCGUUAUACGGUUCAAUAUCGUAUCAAGGGUUCGAAUCCCUUUCUCUCCACCA